UUAAAGAUAAGCUAAAUUUUUAAGCUAUUGGGCUCAUAACCCAAAUAUGAGACAUCUCUUUAAA
rnacentral:tRNA from 1 species